rnacentral:rRNA from 1 species
GUUUUUCGGAUAGGCCCUGAAAGGAGAUGAAAGGCUGAAAUGCCAACGGACCUCUGUCUAUUCUCUAAUUCACCCGAUCCGAUAGUACCCGUUUUUGGAACGUCCAGUGCCAAAGUCACUAAAUGGGUAAGUCACCAAUCCAAUCCCUUGGAUCAGUCGUGGUCUUCUAGACUCUACCAAGAGUCUGGACGAAUUUGUUGUUUCAUCCAAAUGUGUAAAAGAUCAUAG